CACGUAGGGUGCAAACGUUGCUCGGAAUCAUUGGGCGUAAAGCGCACGUAGGCGGUCUGUUAUGUCGGAUGUGAAAGCCCUUGGCUUAACUGAGGAAGUGCAUCCGAAACUGGCAGGCUAGAGUACUAAAGAGGGUCGCGGAAUUCCCGGUGUAGAGGUGAAAUUCGUAGAUAUCGGGAGGAACACCGGUGGCGAAGGCGGCGACCUGGGUAGAUACUGACGCUGAGGUGCGAAAGCGUGGGGAGCAAACAGG
rnacentral:rRNA from 1 species